rnacentral:lncRNA from 1 species
AUGGGUCAUUUUAAUAAUAUGAAAAAUGUUAUACAUAACACAAUCAUCAGCCUUAAGAGAAAUAAAAUGGAUUUUUAUGGUCAAAAAUUAGCAUUUUUAAUUAAAAAUAUAAUUUUUACAAUUAGCACUAUCAUUUCAAUAGCAAUCGGUUAUUAUAAACAAGACAUAGCUUUAAGUGCGUAUAUACUCUUAGGAGCGACCGUCUUAUGUUCUAUACUUGUUAUACCAACAUGGCCUGUGUAUUACAAAAACAAUAUCCAAUGGACUAAAAGUGAAGACUCAUUAAAAAAGAAAAAAGAAAAAUAAAACAUUAUACGUUAUACGUUAUAUGUUAUACGUUAUACGUUAUCGUAUGGGAAUAUACACAUUCCUUUGCACAUGUAUUUUACUAUCUUAUCUUUUUAAAAAAGCGUACAUAUAAAUAUAAAAACUUUCACCCUCACAUUUUUUUAAUUUUUUUUUACUUCAUUUUUUUUACUUCAUUUUUUUUACUUCAUUUUUNNNNNNNNNNCUUCAUUUUUUUUACUUCAUUUUUACUGCAUUUUUUUUUUUUUUUUUUUUUUUAAUUAAUAUAAAUGUAAUACAUAUAAAAAAUGUUAAACUGUUGAAUCUAAAUACUGUUAUUAAUUGCUUAAUUGAACCACGUGAGUUUAAAAGAAUGAAAAAAUAUAUGUACUAUAAAUCGUUUAUAUAAUAGUUUUUUUUAUAUUGUUUUAAUUCUUGAAUAUAAUUUAUAAAAUUUAAAAUAAUUUCAUUUAUACCUUUAUCAGAAAAAAUAGGUAAAAUACUAUGUAAUAUAUCAUCUAGUUCAGUAAUUUUUAUCUCUAUACUUUUGCCAAUUUCAUUGAACUCUUUUUUUUUAAUUUUAUCAAUCCGUUAUAUAUUUUUUGGAUCUCACAUAAAUUGAAUGGUAUUUCUAUGUUAAUUUUAUAUCUGCAAAAAAAAAAAAAAAAAAAAAAAAUAAAUAAAUAAAUAAAUAAAAUUACUGAAAAAAA